rnacentral:rRNA from 1 species
CCUGAUGACCAUAGCAAGUUGGUACCACUCCUUCCCAUCCCGAACAGGACAGUGAAACGACUUCGCGCCGAUGAUAGUGCGGAUGCAGAUGCUGUCCAAU